GGUGUGCGUGGUGUGGAUCGUCAGACCAGGAUUCGAUCUGGUGCUGAAUAAUCACCUGUUCAGUGUGGCUGAGGCUGACUGGCUGCCGUGGUGGACAGGUUGCUCUACAGGAGCCUAUCCUUGUGUUUGGCGUCUCGUGUCCUGAGUUAAUUGGAGCAGCAGGCCCUCACUCGGCUCCUCCUCC